rnacentral:rRNA from 1 species
GAUGAACGCUGGCGGCGUGCCUAAUACAUGCAAGUCGAGCGAACGGACGAGAAGCUUGCUUCUCUGAUGUUAGCGGCGGACGGGUGAGUAACACGUGGAUAACCUACCUAUAAGACUGGGAUAACUUCGGGAAACCGGAACUAAUACCGGAUAAUAUUUUGAACCGCAUGGUUCAAAAGUGAAAGACGGUCUUGCUGUCACUUAUAGAUGGAUCCGCGCUGCAUUAGCUAGUUGGUAAGGUAACGGCUUACCAAGGCAACGAUGCAUAGCCGACCUGAGAGGGUGAUCGGCCACACUGGAACUGAGACACGGUCCAGACUCCUACGGGAGGCAGCAGUAGGGAAUCUUCCGCAAUGGGCGAAAGCCUGACGGAGCAACGCCGCGUGAGUGAUGAAGGUCUUCGGAUCGUAAAACUCUGUUAUUAGGGAAGAACAUAUGUGUAAGUAACUGUGCACAUCUUGACGGUACCUAAUCAGAAAGCCACGGCUAACUACGU